AAAGAAAAAACCAAAAAUCGAAAAUUAAAAGCUCAAGCUUAAUCCCUCUCUCUCUCUCUCAUAGUAUUUCCAUGGCAGAGCCUCCAUCUUCUCCCGCUGCUACCGUAGACCACAAUUCUCGUAAACCCGAGUCCGAAAGCGCGGACGUUCUACCCACCCAACCCGAUCCAACAUCCAACUCCAUAACGCCACUGGCACCUCCAUCAUCACUGGCACAGCAACAAACACCAAACCCUAACCCUAGCCCGAAUCCUUACACUGCCUCAGCAUCAACUCCAGCAAAUGCGUUUCCGUCCUACGCGCCGCCAAUUUCCGGUGCAUCUGUGGCUCCCGUGGCUCAGUCCUUCCGUCCGGUUCCGC
rnacentral:misc_RNA from 1 species